rnacentral:rRNA from 1 species
UACGUAGGGUGCAAGCGUUGUCCGGAAUUAUUGGGCGUAAAGAGCUCGUAGGCGGCUUGUCACGUCGGGUGUGAAAGCCCCGGGGCUUAACCCCGGGUCUGCAUUCGAUACGGGCAGGCUAGAGUGUGGUAGGGGAGAUCGGAAUUCCUGGUGUAGCGGUGAAAUGCGCAGAUAUCAGGAGGAACACCGGUGGCGAAGGCGGGUCUCUGGGCAACAACUGACGCUGAGGAGCGAAAGCGUGGGGAGCGAACAGG